AACCGCUACAGGAAUCUUUAUCCUUAUGAUUACAACCAAGUACGGCUGACCAAACUGCGCAGGGAUCCCCUCUCCACCUACAUCAACGCCAACUACAUCAAUGUCAAAUGCGACUCCUACUGGUUGGACGGAUAUAAUCUUGAUACUGGACUAUUUCUGAUUUCUGUCACCAUGAAGCAGCAGCGAUCGCACUGGAACUUCCGGACACUCAAAGCCACGUCUAAAGAG